rnacentral:lncRNA from 1 species
ACAGAGACUGGAAAUUAAGUGUUCAUACAUCUUACUUCUAUAGAGAGUAACAUCGAUAGUAAAUUCACAAGAAACAAUAUGAAUUAUUAAAAGCAACUAGCUAACAAUUAGUCACACACACAGAACAUAUAUGAUUUGGAUUACACAAGACACAAUACUAGCACUAAAAUGAUCAACAUCACAGAAAUACGAAACCACAUGAAAUAUAUAUCACGAACAUAUAUGUCACAUAAAUACUCAUAAGCAGAUUCUAAUAGAUCAAUCACCUCCCAAAUUAAGAAGGCAUCAUUAAGUCAGGUCACAUAAACAAGUACUAUAUUAUACCAGUACGGAGCUGAACAAAUAACAAGUGAUUAAAACUAGUCAAGUCUGAAUAUUACACAACCCUGAACAUUACACAAUUCUGAACAUUACACUACUCAAGGUUACAGAAAUUUGAGAGAGAGAGAGAGAGAGAGAGAGAGAGAGAGAGAGAGAGAGAGAGAGAGAGAGAGAGAGAGAGAGAGAGAACAUCAGCAGGUUUUGGAAAAGGGGGAGGAAGAACAACAACAGAGAUGGUUCAGAGAUGAAGCAAGGGCAUCAGGGAGAGAAGAGCAGCAGCAGGUUCGUGGGAGAGGGAGCAGCAGCAGUUCGUUCAGAGAGAAGCAGCAACAGCGCUAAGGGAGAUGCAACAGAGAAGAGGCGGCAUCAGCAAGGGGAAGAAGAAGAAGAGCAGCAACACGGAGAUGGAGAAGCAAGAAAGGUGCAGCAGUACGUGAGAGAGAGAGAGAAGAAGUGAUGGUGGGGAGUGGUGGCGCUGGUGGAUGUGCUGGGUGGCACGGUGGUGCUGGUGAUGGCGCGGUGGCGCGACGGGCUGUGGAGGCGCACCACCACGCCGGCCUGGCCGUGGCGGCGGCCGGAGGUGGAGAAGGAGUGGUGAGAGGGAGAGAGAUGGAGAUGUGGCCAGGCUCCCCAAUGGGAUCGGUGGCUAGCGCUAGGGAUUUGAUCCCACGAUCAGAUUUGCCACUUUUUGAUUUGGCCCUCCUGCUCCCUUCUUUCUUCGCAAGCACAUCCCUUCCCGUCUCUAGUUUGGCCUUCGGUUUCUUCUUUCCUUCAUGCUCAGGUCCCCCUUCUUUCUUUCCCGUCCUUGUCUUGUAUUCUUCGGCCUCUUAGUCAGAAUCUUGAGGUUUAUAGUGCCUUUGCGCACUUUUCUGCAGAAGAAACAAAUGACGAGUAAAUGAUCUUUUUUUAUGAUUAUCAAGCAAUAUUCAAUCAAUCAUGGCAAGAAUGGACGGAUAUAUCAUGAUAGAUGCUACAUUUGAGUACCAAAAUUAUAUAUGUGAAAUACACUUAUCAAGUUCCCCCACACUUAAAUCUUUACUUGUCCUCAAGUAAAGGCAUAUGACAAGAGCAAGAUAGUGAAUAGUGAGCUGACUAGAGAAUGUCCAAGUGAAGUAGAUCUCUAAACAAUGCAUGCUUUUGGACUUAGCUAGUGAAAAUCAAUGGUUAAGAGUGCUACAGAGCAAUAGGACACUAGUAAGCAUGACCAUUUUAAACCUUUACAAUGAUAAAAGAGGAUCAACAAGUUUAAAUGAUGAAUGUGCCAAAAGGUUCCUAAAGAGAGCAUGAUCUCGAGAACAAAUCUUGUGAUCAGAUCAUUUAUUAACAGGAACACAACAUUGUGGUUGAACCACUUAUUGAAUUUGAAGGAAGAAAAGAUAUUAUUUUAUCAGUCUCACCAAAGGAACAUACCACCGAUCCCGAGAACAUGGUAUACACCUGGCUCAACCAAAUAUUAGUUUUUUUGUUUGUCUCCCCAAAGGAACAUACCACCGAUCCCGAGAACAUGGUAUACACCUGGUUCGACAAUUACAUGUUUUUAUAAAUAAUUACUGCCCAAGCUAACCCGAUUUCACAUGCCACCGAUCCCGAGAACAUGACAUGCUACUGUAGGUAGUCAGACUAAUUUAUUCAUUAUUACUUAUCUUAAAUGAACAACGCAUAAGCACAAAAAUAGGAAUCAUCACUUCUCCAUGUCUGGUUCACAUGCUACCGAUCUAGGGAACAUAGCAUGCUAAUCCAUAGUGGUUAGGUGAUUGCUCUCAAUGGGAACACAUUAGGCACAAACUCAGCAUCUGACACUUAAUGAUCUAGGUGUAUCGAGGUAAAAGUAGAAAAUGAUUAAGUUUUCUAGUGUACUAGGGAUUUGAGCACUCAAAACUAAUAACUUUCACUAAUUUCAGCGAAGCAAGCAGUAUGUAGAUCACUAGUUUACAAGGCAUUCACGAUUCAGUUCACAUAUUCACAUCAAGCAUCAUAUGUCAAAGGUAAAACUCAGUGGGACGACAUUUAAGAAAUUGCUCAAGCAACCCAAAUAUCAAAUGAUUUCAGCAUGUAUCAAUGGAUGAUAUAUUAAGAUUCGGGUCAUGAAACAGCUCACCAGGUUUUUAUAGGAAGUAGCACUCGCUCGACACUCUCUAAACUGCAACUCUUCUCCUUUGCUUCCUCGUGCAUUGUGACUCCUCUCCUUUCGCUUCCCUAUCCUCAUGCCUGCUCCAGCUUCUCUCUUCAUGUGUUCUCCUUACUUCUCCUCAUCGCCAUGCUCUGACUCCACCAGGAUCCCAAGGGAUGUCAUCUCGAACCUGGUCAGCAUGUAUUGAUUUGUUGCACAAGCAAAAACCUUAAAUAGGACUCACACAAACAACAACUACAAGUGAUAGGGUAGAUGCCCUCUAAAUCAUCAAUAGAGUACCCAAUUACAUAAGCAUAGCUAUAAAGCACAUGUUUAGAAUGGUGGAAAUCAGUAAGCUCAAUGCUAGCAUGAAGAUGAUAUGAAUCAUUAAGCUCCAUACUAACAUGAGAAUGACAUGUUUCAUUAAGCAUGGGUCUAGCAUGAGGAAAAUAAGUGUAAUCGUAACAAAUGUGAGCAAUGCCAUGAACAUGGUAUAUAUCAUCAUAUCCAAGCAAAUACUUUCUCAAAUCUACCUUAAUUGAUGGUAUCAUGUAAUGCAAGGUAGAAGCAAAUAAGUCAUAGGGACGCAUGCCAUCAAGAGGAUUAGAUAAACCUGCUACAUCACGCUCUUGUAUGACAAUAGGCAAAUGAAUUUCUGGUUCUUCAAGUUCAUCUACAGCAACUUCUUUUGCUUCUUCAAGAGUAGUAGAUGAUGAAUCUUCAACUUGAUCACUUGGUUGUUCGAGCUCUGGAUCAUCUUGUUCCUCGUCUUCGAGUAUUUCUUCUUCAAGUUGAGAUCUCUCUUCCUCUGGAUCUUCUAUGGUGCUACUACCAGCAACACCUAAUUGAGUCUGAAGUGUCCCCAUCUGUGAAUAUGCACUAACAUGAUCUGGUAGGGGUGCUGAGAUCACUACCUCGCUGUCUUUCUGAGCAAUAUUCUCCUCAUCACCAUCACUGCUAAGUUUCAACAAUGACACUGAUGACUUCCACCAGUCAUGCAGCUCAGCAACACGUGGGAUCUUCUCAGGAUAUUGAAGUAUCAACUCUUCCAAAUUUGACUCAACCUCUUGUAUCUCUCUCCUUGGAAUGUCUCCGACUUGCUUAGAUGUAUGUGCAGGAGUUGGAAUCUCAUCUUCACUAUUCUUCUCUGAGAUACUCUCUUUAACUGAGAUAGAGGCAACCACCGGUGGAGCUAAUGAUUUCUUCUUGACAAAUAUCCCAGAUACAGUUGUAACACAAGUGUGGGAAAUUGGUGCCACGACUAAAUUCCACCAGUCACAUAGUUGACUAACACAAGUGAAUUUCUCCAUAUCUUGUUGUCUCAACUUAGCAUCAAUUAGAGUAGGUUCCUCAUAAACAUCUUCUUGCAACUUUGACUUAGUCUGGACAGUUUCAUUGCCAUGAGGUAUUGGAUCUGCUACUGUGGUUUCCAUCUGAUCUACAAUGGUUGCAUCAUCUUGAAAAAUAUCAUAAUCAUCAUCAAGGAUACUUGAAGUAAGAUCAAUCUUUCUACAUGGAGGAUCUAAUUCAGCUCUGAAAUGUUGUUGUCCCCGAAAUGGAACAUGCUGGUUUCGAAUAUUAGGCACCAUGGAUGAUUUCUGUUCACUUAUGGAACACACAGCUUCUGAUUGCAGAUGGCUUGCAACCUUCAGAUUUGAACUAGGCCUUUCAUAACCCCAUUGCAUUUGGUGGAAGGCAAUGCUCUCAAUGAGAAUAAUUGCACCCUCAACGGUCUUCUUCAUGAUUGUUCCACCAGCUGACAUAUCAAUAAGAUCUCUCGAAGCAUGUGUCAGCCCUCUAUAGAAUAUCUGGAGCACUAACCAAUCCUUUUGCCCAUGAUUAGGACAUUUUCUAAGCAAAUACUUAUAUCUCUCCCAAGCUGCAUACAAGCUCUCACUUCCAUCUUGCGCAAAACUGAGGAUCUGGUCACGAAUGGCAGCUUGCUUGUAAAGUGGAAAAUAUCUGUGCAGGAAAGCUUGCGAAAUAUCACCCCAAGUGUAUGAUCUUGAUGGCAAAGAAUAGUACCAGUCCUUAGCAGCAUCUCUGAGAGAGAAUGUGAACAUCAUACACUUGAUAGCAUCUUGGGAAACGCCAUGGUACUGGACAGUAUUGGCAUACUCCAGGACAUUACAAAUGUGCUCAUGAGGGUCUUCAUUGGGUAAUCCUCUAAACUGAUUCUGCAAGACAAGAGCAAUAAGUCCAGGCCUCAACUCAAAAUUUUCGGCCUCAAUAGAUGGCCAAAUUGGCCCUGUCAUCAUGCCCAAGCUACUUGGCAACCAAAGAUCACGUACUAAAGCCAUAUGUCCAAGCGCAACUGUCAAUCAGCCUACAAAUAGUAAGAUAUCCUACACACGCUCACAAACAUCAAGCUCUGGUGAGAGGGUUAGUAUCCUAAUAAGCCGAAGCAACAAAAAGUAAAAAGGGUAAAAGAAACACAGAAAUAAAUUUGACUGGAAAUUUAAACAAGAACUAUACUAAGCCUAGUCUAUAGCUUCACACAAUCGCUCGAUGCUACUCCCCGGCAACGGAGCCAAAAUGAUCAAUUGUAAGUACAGUGGGGUUUUACGCCCAAACUGCGAGUGUCGUGUUCUCCUCAGGGACUAGGCAACGGCAACUAUGCUCGGCGAAAGCUAGAUAACACAAUAAGGGUGAUGAUCGCAAGAAAAUAUAAACCUAAAAUAAUCAAGGACAAUGACAAACAACACAGGGAAAUUAAGGUUGACACUCACUCUCUAAUUGGUAUUUUCAAACUACUAGAGAACUACAAUACUAGCAUCAAUGAUAAGGGAAGUCAAAAUACAUGGACAUAUAUAACUAGCAUGCAAAUGACAGGAGGAAGAAACAAGCUAGUACGACAGGGGCAAAAAUAUAUAACAACACAAACAUAUAUAUAUUCACACGAACAUCGUUAACACAGAGACUGGAAAUUAAAUGCUCAUACAUCUUACUUCUACAGAGAGUAACAUCGAUAGUAAAUUCAAAAGAAACAAUAUGAAUUAUUAAAAGCAACUAGCUGACAAUUAGUCACACACACAGAACAUAUAUGAUUUGGAUUACACAAGACACAAUACUAGCACCAAAAUGAUCAACAUCACAGAAAUACAAAACCACAUGAAAUAUAUAUCACGAACAUAUAUGUCACAGAAAUACUCAUAAGCAGAUUCUGAUAGAUCAAUCACCUCCCAAAUUAAGAAGGCAUCAUUAAGUCAGGUCACAUAACAAGUACUAUAUUAUACCAGUAUGGAGCUGAACAAAUAACAAGUGAUUAAAACUAGUCAAGUCUGAAUAUUACACAACCCUGAACAUUACACAAUUCUGAACAUUACACUACUCAAGGUUACAGAAAUUUGAGAGAGAGAGAGAGAGAGAGAGAGAGAGAGAG